AGUCGAGGGGCAGCAUUUCAGUUUGCUUGCAAACUGGAGAUGGCGACCGGCGCUCGGGUGAGUAACACGUAUCCAACCUGCCGAUAACUCGGGGAUAGCCUUUCGAAAGAAAGAUUAAUACCCGAUGGNAUAAUCAGACCGCAUGGUCUNAUUAUUAAAGAAUUUCGGUUAUCGAUGGGGAUGCGUUCCAUUAGGCAGUUGGUGAGGUAACGGCUCACCAAACCUUCGAUGGAUAGGGGUUCUGAGAGGAAGGUCCCCCACAUUGGAACUGAGACACGGUCCAAACUCCUACGGGAGGCAGCAGUGAGGAAUAUUGGUCAAUGGGCGCAGGCCUGAACCAGCCAAGUAGCGUGAAGGAUGACUGCCCUAUGGGUUGUAAACUUCUUUUAUAUGGGAAUAAAGUUUUCCACGUGUGGAAUUUUGUAUGUACCAUAUGAAUAAGGAUCGGCUAACUCCGUGCCAGCAGCCGCGGUAAUACGGAGGAUCCGAGCGUUAUCCGGAUUUAUUGGGUUUAAAGGGAGCGUAGGUGGACAGUUAAGUCAGUUGUGAAAGUUUGCGGCUCAACCGUAAAAUUGCAGUUGAUACUGGCUGUCUUGAGUACAGUAGAGGUGGGCGGAAUUCGUGGUGUAGCGGUGAAAUGCUUAGAUAUCACGAAGAACUCCGAUUGCGAAGGCAGCUCACUGGACUGCAACUGACACUGAUGCUCGAAAGUGUGGGUAUCAAACAGGAUUAGAUACCCUGGUAGUCCACACAGUAAACGAUGAAUACUCGCUGUUUGCGAUAUACAGUAAGCGGCCAAGCGAAAGCAUUAAGUAUUCCACCUGGGGAGUACGCCGGCAACGGUGAAACUCAAAGGAAUUGACGGGGGCCCGCACAAGCGGAGGAACAUGUGGUUUAAUUCGAUGAUACGCGAGGAACCUUACCCGGCCUUAAAUUGCAUUUGAAUANUNUGGAAACAGNNUAGCCGNAAGGCAAAUGUGAAGGUGCUGCAUGGUUGUCGUCAGCUCGUGCCGUGAGGUGUCGGCUUAAGUGCCAUAACGAGCGCAACCCUUAUCUUUAGUUACUAACAGGUCAUGCUGAGGACUCUAGAGAGACUGCCGUCGUAAGAUGUGAGGAAGGUGGGGAUGACGUCAAAUCAGCACGGCCCUUACGUCCGGGGCUACACACGUGUUACAAUGGGGGGUACAGAAGGCAGCUACCUGGUGACAGGAUGCUAAUCCCAAAAGCCUCUCUCAGUUCGGAUCGAAGUCUGCAACCCGACUUCGUGAAGCUGGAUUCGCUAGUAAUCGCGCAUCAGCCAUGGCGCGGUGAAUACGUUCCCGGGCCUUGUACACACCGCCCGUCAAGCCAUGAAAGCCGGGGGUACCUGAAGUACGAACCGCAAGGAGCUCCUAGG
rnacentral:rRNA from 1 species